CUUCAGCAGUAUAUCCGUGCUUGUACAGUUUGUCAACGCAACAAGACGGAAGAGCUUCAUCCAGCUGGCCUAUAACAUCCUUUGACAAUACCAUCUCGUAUAUGGGAAGACAUCUCCAUGGAUUUCAUUGAGGCAUUACCAAAGGUGGGCGGUAAAAGUGUUAUCCUUACAGUGGUGGAUCGUUUCUCCAAGUAUGCACAUUUUAUUCCUCUAGCGCAUCCGUACAUUGUUGAGUCUGUUGCUAAGGAUUUUUUCUCCAACAUCGUCCAUCUUCAUGGUUUUCCAACAUCCAUCGUUUCGGACAGAGAUGUGGUGUUCACAGGAGUUUGGAAGCCUUUCUUUGCAGCCGCGGGCACACGCUUGCACAUGAGUUCUGCCUUCCACAUGUAGUCAGAUGGCCAAUCGCAGGCAGUGAAUCGCGUCAUCACUAUGUACCUUCGUUGCAUCACUCGGGAUCGCCCACGCUAGUGGCUCCAAUGAUUGUCGUGGGCCGAGUUCUGCUACAACACUUCAUAUCAUUCAGCGUUGAAAACACCUUUCGGGGUGGUUUAUGGAUGGGAUCCUCCGUCUAUCCGGGACUAUAUUCCGGGUGAAAUUCGCAAUCAGGCGGUAGAACGGCAGAUCAUCGACCGCGACCAGUUCUUAAUUGACGUCCGCGAGCGCCUCCUGCAACCAGCACAACAGUACAAUCAUUACUAUGAUGACAAGCAUCGGGCCCUUUCCUUUGAUGUUGGGGAGUGGGCUUGGCGUCGUCUGCAGCACCGCCCAGCGGCAUUCCUCAGAAUAGGCGCAAAAGGCAAACUGGCACCAAAAUACUAUGGGCCUUUCAAGGUCCUCGCUAAAAUUGAUGCAAUUGCUUACCAUCUGGAGUUACUCCCUCGCACCCGCAUUCAUAAUGUCUUCCAUGUCAGGGUACUGAAGAAAUACCAUGGUCCGCUUCCUGAAGGUCCGCCGAUGCUCCCUCCACUAUUUUAGGGUCGAGUUCAUCCAACUCCUGUCCAUGCAUUGUGUGCUCGUAUUGCUCGCGGUGUACAGCAAGUGCUCAUUCAAUGGGAGGGACAGGCUACCUCUUCUGCUUCUUGGGACGAUGUCAUGUGGGGCCAGACUUAUAGGCGCAAGGGCCCUGCACCACCCUAG
rnacentral:rRNA from 1 species